rnacentral:rRNA from 1 species
UACGUAGGGGGCAAGCGUUGUCCGGAAUCAUUGGGCGUAAAGAGCGCGUAGGCGGCCCUGUAAGUCCGCUGUGAAAGUCAAGGGCUCAACCCUUGGAUGCCGGUGGAUACUGCAGGGCUAGAGUCCGGAAGAGGCGAGUGGAAUUCCUGGUGUAGCGGCGAAAUGCGCAGAUAUCAGGAGGAACACCGAUGGCGAAGGCAGCUCGCUGGGACGGUACUGACGCUGAGGCGCGAAAGCGUGGGGAGCAAACAGG